rnacentral:rRNA from 1 species
CCCUAGCUGGUCUGAUAGGAUGAUCAGCCACACUGGAACUGAGACACGGUCCAGACUCCUACGGGAGGCAGCAGUGGGGAAUAUUGCACAAUGGGCGAAAGCCUGAUGCAGCCAUGCCGCGUGUGUGAAGAAGGCCUUCGGGUUGUAAAGCACUUUCAGCGAGGAGGAAGAUUAAGUAGUUAAUACCUGCUUGAUUUGACGUUACUCGCAGAAGAAGCACCGGCUAACUCCGUGCCAGCAGCCGCGGUAAUACGGAGGGUGCGAGCGUUAAUCGGAAUUACUGGGCGUAAAGCGUACGCAGGCAGCCAUUUAAGUCAGAUGUGAAAGCCCCGGGCUCAACCUGGGAACUGCAUUUGAAACUGGAUGGCUAGAGUGCGACAGAUGGUGGUAGAAUUUCAGGUGUAGCGGUGAAAUGCGUAGAGAUCUGAAGGAAUACCAUUGGCGAAGGCGGCCACCUGGGUCGACACUGACGCUUAUGUACCAAAGCGUGGGUAGCAAACAGGAUUAGAUACCCUGGUAGUCCCCGCCGUAAACGAUGUCCACUAAGAAUUUUGGAGCUUAAGCUCUGUCUUGCGGAGUUUAAGCAUUAUGUAGACCGCCCGGGGGAGUACCGCCGCCAAGGUGAAAACCCAAAUAAAUUCACCGGGGCCCCCCCCAACCCGUGGAAGAAGGGGGUUUAUUUCAUUUAACCCCAAAAAACUU